rnacentral:lncRNA from 1 species
UCAAGGGCCUGUUUCCUUUGCCUCCAUAACUGUUGUAGGUAUUGACGACCAGGCUUCUAAACCUCUUAAAACUCCCCAACUCUGGUGCCAACUUAGACAAUACUCUUCUAAACCUCUUAAAACUCCCCAACUCUGGUGCCAACUUAGACAAUACUCUUUUAAGCACUCCUUUUUAGUUAUCCCCACCUGCCCAGCUCCCUUAUUAGG